UCCAGCAGCCGCGGUAAUACGGAGGGUCCGAGCGUUAWUCGGAAUUMCUGGGCGUAAAGCGUGCGCAGGCGGUUAUUUAAGCCAGAUGUGAAAGCCCCGGGCUCAMCCUGGGAAUUGCAUUUGGAACUGGGUAACUAGAGUCUUGUAGAGGGAGGUAGAAUUUCAGGUGUAGCGGUGAAAUGCGUAGAUAUCUGAAGGAAUACCGGUGGCGAAGGCGGCCUCCUGGACAAAGACUGACGCUCAUGCACGAAAGCGUGGGGAGCAAACAGGAUUAGAUACCCUGGUAGUCCACGCCGUAAACGAUGUCUACUCGGAGUUUGGUGCCUUGAGCACUGGGCUCUCAAGCUAACGCAUUAAGUAGACCGCCUGGGGAGUACGGCCGCAAGGUUAAAACUCAAAGGAUUGACGGA
rnacentral:rRNA from 1 species